UCUUGGUCAUUUAGAGGAAGUAAAAGUCGUAACAAGGUCUCCGUUGGUUAACCAGCGGAGGGAUCAUUACCGAGUUUACAACUCCCAAACCCAAUGUGAACCAUACCAAACUGUUGCCUCGGCGGGGUCACGCCCCGGGUGCGUCGCAGCCCCGGAACCAGGCGCCCGCCGGAGGGACCAACCAAACUCUUUCUGUAGUCCCCUCGCGGACGUUAUUUCUUACAGCUCUGAGCAAAAAUUCAUAAUGAAUCAGAACUUUCAACAACGGAUCUCUUGGUUCUGGCAUCGAUGAAGAAUGCAGCGAAAUGCGAUAAGUAAUGUGAAUUGCAGAAUUCAGUGAAUCAUCGAAUCUUUGAACGCACAUUGCGUCCCGCCAGUAUUCUGGCGGGCAUGCCUGCCCGAGCGUCAUUUCAACCCUCGAACCCCUCCGGGGGUCCGGCGUUGGGGAUCGGGAACCCCUAAGACGGGAUCCCGGCCCCGAAAUACAGUGGCGGUCUCGCGCGCAGCCUCUCCUGCGCAGUAGUUUGCACAACUCUCACCGGGAGCGCGGCGCGUCCACGUCCGUAAAACACCCAAUUUCUGAAAUGUUGACCUCAGAUCAGGUAGGAAUACCCGCUGAACUUAAGCAUAUCAAUAAGCGGAGGAA
rnacentral:rRNA from 1 species